CAGUAGCAAGGAACAUAUUUGAAUUAUUCCUACAAGAGACCCCAUUAAUGUCAUUUUUUCCUGCAUAUUUUGACGACGUUUGGGACAAUCACUUACUUAAGAGACCCCAUUAGUGUCAUUAUUCCAGCAUAUUUUGACUACGUUUGGGACAAUCACUCACUUAAGAUAAACGCUGAAUUCAUGCGGAUAACAACAGUGCCACUCCUGACCAAGUUCUUUGGGCAGCUGGAUAGAUACACUGCAAACCUGCAUAAGGUUUUCAAAAGCAAAGGAGGUGCUUCUUGACAGAAGAUAUCACGCAUAAUGGCAAUUGCU